rnacentral:rRNA from 1 species
UACGAAGGGGGGCUAGCGUUGCUCGGAAUGACUGGGCGUAAAGGGCGCGUAGGCGGUUUGCACAGUCAGGCGUGAAAUUCCUGGGCUUAACCUGGGGGCUGCGCUUGAUACGUGUGGACUGGAGUGCGGAAGAGGGUCGUGGAAUUCCCAGUGUAGAGGUGAAAUUCGUAGAUAUCUGGAGGAACACCGGUGGCGAAGGCGGCAUCCUGGACCGAUACUGACGCUGAGGAGCGAAAGCCAGGGGAGCAAACGGG